GCGCACUGUUCGUAAUCGGUCAUCACCGCCAUUGAUGAUCGGUUCCAUUCCGGUGCCACAUUAACCCUCAAAGAUCAGGCAGAUUAGCUUGGGUUAAUCUAUGUGUCUUUGUGGAACAGUU